GCCGUUUCUUCCCUUGCCGAGCCAUCCCGACGCCGCAUUCCUUCUUCCUCCUUGCCCUAACCGCCGGCGGCGGUUACUUCUCCUCAAGGGUACAGCCUCUCGGCUACCCCCUCUUCAUCUCCUCUUCUCGGUGAAGCCGACACCCUGUUUUCCUCUGCCCUAGCCAGCCCGACGCCACCGCCGGCUGCAACUCACAGAGUCGACCAAUUCUCUCCUCUGCCGACGCCGACCACCUUUUGCUGCCCUAGCGCCGGUUCACUAGCAUUUAGUGGCGAGCCUUUCUUCCAUCUCGCUACUGCCUCCACAUUUUUCUUCCUCACUGUGGUCACGCCUCCUGUGCCCUACCUCCGAACCUUGCUUCCUUCUCAGAGCAGAAGUGGUUCGGCAGUGUGACAGCAAGUAGGAAAAAUCUGCAAGGUGUUGUUCUAGGCCUUUUCUUGGGUCAGGUGAUCACCAUCCAGCGACUACCUUUCUCCGGCAGCAAUACCCCUGUUGAAAAUUGUUUACCUUGAAUUUCAGUAGCCGGCAGUCCUAUUCCAGCAGCAACAAACUGUGUGGGGAUCAACAAUCAAGGCUGUGGAUUGAGGACCUUGACGCGAGACGAGUAUCUCGGAGUCAGAUUGGACCUUUCUAUUUUCGG